rnacentral:lncRNA from 1 species
GGCCAGUUCCUGAUCCCCCAGCAGCAUGGCGUCUUGGGCCGAGCCCUCUGAGCCUGCUGCCCAGCUACUUUGUGGGGCCCCACUCCUGGAGGGCUUUGAGGUGCUUGAUGGGGUUGAUGAUGCAGAGGAGGAAGAUGACCUAAGUGGGUUGCCACCACUAGAGGAUAUGGGACAGCCUACGGUGGAGGAGGCUGAGCAGCCUGGAGCCCUAGCUCGGGAGUUCCUGGCAGCCACAGAGCCUGAGCCAGCCCCAGCCCCCGCCCCGGAAGAGUGGCUGGACAUUCUGGGGAACGGAUUGCUGCGUAAGAAGACACUGGUCCCAGGCCCAACAGGCUCUAGCCGCCCACUCAAGGGCCAGGUGGUGACCGUACACCUGCAGAUGUCCCUGGAGAAUGGCACCCGUGUGCAAGAGGAGCCCGAACUGGCUUUCACGCUUGGAGACUGCGAUGUUAUCCAGGUGGGAGCUGGGUGGGCAGGUGGGCGGCCCAUCGCGGGGCCUGUGCUCUUGUGACACCCCUGGCUGUCCUCCAGGCCCUGGACCUCAGCGUCCCGCUCAUGCAUGUGGGCGAGACAGCAAUGGUCACCGCUGACUCCAAGUACUGCUACGGUCCCCAGGGCAGGUGAGCGCUGGCCUGUGCAUCUAACUGUGUCCACCAUCCUUCCCAUUGCGUCAAAAGGGAAACUGAGGCCGAGGCUGGCCGAGUCACAGGCUCAGGGUAAUAUCUCAGAAUGUGAUGUGUAAUUGACACAGGGACCCCAGGUCCUGAGUCCUGGCCUUCCUGCCUCAGAUUCAGCCUUGCAAGGAGGGUGUGGUGGUGGCUGCAGCCUGGUUGCCAGGUCUGAGUGUCCCCUGUUGGCCACCUCCCCAGCAGGAGCCCAUACAUCCCCCCCCAUGCAGCCCUGUGCCUGGAAGUCACCCUGAAGACAGCAGAGGAUGGACCUGACCUGGAGAUGCUGAGUGGGCAGGAGCGCGUGGCCCUGGCCAACCGCAAGCGGGAGUGUGGCAAUGCCCACUACCAGCGUGCUGACUUUGUGCUGGCUGCCAACUCCUAUGACCUGGCCAUCAAGGCCAUCACCUCCAACGCCAAAGGUGCCCAGCUAGUUACCCGGGGUGUGUGUGCAUGCGGGGAUCGGGACAGCUCAGGGAAUGCAAUUCUGUCCUCCAUUGUGUGGGAGGGGUGCAGAACUCAGGUUGUUAGCCUUCGCAGCCAGGACGCUUACCCUUGAGCCAUCUUGCCAGCCUGUAGGAUGGCCAGACUUCUGCAUCAUCAUUUGGGCCGUAGAAUGCUCUAGAAUAUCCCAGAAUAUAGACAUAUUUCCUGCCAUCCAUAACCUUCAGGUCAGUGGCUCCUUCCAGGUGGUAUAUGUAUAGUCAGAAGCUGAGGCAGGAGAAUGGCCAAUUGUAGUCUAGACUGGGUUACAUAGCAAGACCCUUUUGUGUGUGUGCGUCUGUGUCUGUGUCUGUGUCUGUGUCUGUGUGUUCAUUUGCAGUGGGGGUCAGAGGUGAACACCUGGUGUUUUCCUCAGCUGCUGCCCACAUUUUUUGACAUGUCAUUGAACCCAGAGCUCAGUGAGAGUGAGUGGCC